GAUGAACGCUGGCGGCGUGCCUAAUACAUGCAAGUCGAGCGAACAGACGAGGAGCUUGCUCCUCUGACGUUAGCGGCGGACGGGUGAGUAACACGUGGAUAACCUACCUAUAAGACUGGGAUAACUUCGGGAAACCGGAGCUAAUACCGGAUAAUAUAUUGAACCGCAUGGUUCAAUAGUGAAAGACGGUUUUGCUGUCACUUAUAGAUGGAUCCGCGCCGCAUUAGCUAGUUGGUAAGGUAACGGCUUACCAAGGCAACGAUGCGUAGCCGACCUGAGAGGGUGAUAGGCCACCCUGGAACUGAGACACGGUCCAGACUCCUACGGGAGGCAGCAGUAGGGAAUCUGCCGCAAUGGGCGAAAGCCUGACGGAGCAACGCCGCGUGAGUGAUGAAGGUCUUCGGAUCGUAAAACUCUGUUAUUAGGGAAGAACAAAUGUGUAAGUAACUAUGCACGUCUUGACGGUACCUAAUCAGAAAGCCACGGCUAACUACGUG
rnacentral:rRNA from 1 species